UCAAAUAAAUCACAUCCAAUCAGGGUUUUUUUUUAAUUAUUGCAUACUUCUGUGUUAUGCACAGUCCAUUAGUUCUUCUUUGUCAAUUUAUGCCAAAAUAGCUGCAAAUAAAAGACUUUUAAAGAGUUAUUCUGUACCGAGGAUUAUGUCACACAGUACAUUGCUUUGUCAGAGAAGAGCUAAGCAAAACUAAACUGGCCGCCUGUAUUGAUCACUAUGGAGGUACCAAAUUUUCUGUUAAAGAAGUAAUGCCCAAGAACACAUCUACUUUGUUAACCGAGUGCAUUUACUUCAAGGAGAGCUCUGUGGCAACAAACUAAGUUCCAUAUCCUAGAUGCUAGUGGAAGGGUGACAAGGCGGCAGUCAGAGAUAUACAGCUUCUCAAAGUCUUCCCUUCUAUCUUGUCUUAUACUGGAAGAAAACCUGCCGCAGGCUUGCAUGUAGAACUCUGCCAAGAGGCUGUUAAACAAACCUGUUACUCAAAGGUAAAAUGGAUGAAAUUUACAAGAUCUCUUCAACUGAAAGGGUCCAGCAGGUGGAAAAGGAACUAGCCACACAGUUGGCUGAACUAAAGACAGAAAUAGAAGGAAAUGGGGUUCUGCAAGGAACGCCAAACUGCUCUGUUCGGCUUCCAAAAUACAUUGAUUAUUUCAGAAGAGAAAGGGAGUUGGCACUGAAGAAAUGUUUACAGGUAAGUGCUGAAAAAUACCAGUGUGAAUACACCCCAACGAGAAAACAUCCCAGAACAGUAAUGCUUUGGGGGGGGGGGCUGUAAUGCUGCUGCCAUCCUCUGCCUCAUAUUUUGUUGUUGUUAUCCACCCUCAAGCCGAUUAUGAAUCAUGGAGAUCAUGUAGAUGAGACAUCUCCAACAUUCCCUGUCCUCCACUGCUGUGCUCAGUUCCUGUUAUACCCGUGACCUCCUUAAUAUAGUCCAUCCAUCUCACAUACAGCCUUCCUCUCUCUCUACUUCCCUCUACCUUUCCUAGCAUUAUUGUUUUCUCCAAUGAGUAGUGCAUUCUCAUGAUCUGGCCAAAGUAUGACAGCCUAAGUGUAGUCAUUUUGGCUUCUAGAGAGAUACUGCCUCACAUUUACCUGAGAGUAA